UACUAGAGUAGCACUCGCAUAUCAAUAAGCGGAGGAAAAGAAACUAACAAGGAUUCCCUUAGUAACGGCGAGUGAAGCGGGAAGAGCUCAAAUUUGAAAUCUUCAAGGUUCUACCUUGACGAAUUGUAGUUUAUAGAAGUGUUUUCUGUUAGUGGAGUGGCAAAAGUUCUUUGGAAUAGGACAUCAUAGAGGGUGAGAAUCCCGUAUUUGGUCAUUCCUCCUAGCGUUGUGAUACACUUUCAACGAGUCGGAUUGUUUGGGAAUGCAGUCCAAAAUGGGUGGUAAAUUUCAUCUAAAGCUAAAUAUUGGCGAGAGACCGAUAGCGAACAAGUACCGUGAGGGAAAGAUGAAAAGAACUUUGUAAAGAGAGUUAAACAGUACGUGAAAUUGUCAAAAGGGAAGCGUUUGACACCAGCGUUGUUUUUCCGAAAAUCAAUUACGAAUGUUUUAUUUUUGAGGAGUUAUGACUUCAUCGGCUUGCUCCUUUCUUUAUGAAACUUUCUUAAUGCACUUUUCGGUUAACAAGUCAACAUCAAUUUCUUUUGUUGUAAAAGGGUAAUGAGGAAGGUGGCUUUACUUUCGGAGUAAAGUGUUUAUAGCCUUUUACCUCUGCAAUCGGAGAGAUUGAGGUCUGCAGCGUAGAUCCUUCGGGGUUAGAUACAGUUUGUGCUAAGUUAUAGCUUUUUCAUAGACAACAUUGUUGACUAUGAUUUAAGUCAUUGUAGCUUACUCGCUUAUGCUAUUUUACCUACGCUUAGGAUGUUGAAGAUGUAGCACAUCAU
rnacentral:rRNA from 1 species